rnacentral:lncRNA from 1 species
ACAAGUGAAUGACAAACAUAGGCCUAACACACUCUCCAAGCACCAGAGUCAAAGCCAAAAUGCGACAUGAAGUCUACAUUGCGACUUAGGCACAGAGAAUGAGGAACAUUGCAAACUGCGAAAGUCACUCGAAUUCUGUUUCUGCUGCUACUGGCAAGCUUCCUCUGGCUGAGCCUGGCCAGCCUGCCUCCCAUUUACCCCCUCGGAGGACCUGGUGGAGGGAACGCAGGCG